ACCGGGAUAAGCCUGGGAAACCGGGUCUAAUACUGGAUGUCCCCACCAGAUCACAUGGUCAGGUGAGGAAAUGAAUUUCGCUUCGGGAGGGGCUCGCGGGCUAUCAGCUUGUUGGUGGGGUAACGGCCUACCAAGGCGACGACGGCUAGCUGGUCUGAGAGGACGAUCAGCCACACUGGGACUGAGACACGGCCCAGACUCCUACGGGAGGCAGCAGUGGGGAAUCUUGCACAAUGGGCGAAAGCCUGAUGCAGCAACGCCGCGUGGGGGACGAAGGCCUUCGGGUUGUAAACCCCUUUCANCAGGAACGAAAUUGACGGUACCUGCAGAAGAAGCCCCGGCCAACUACGUGCCAGCAGCCGCGGUAAUACGUAGGGGGCGAGCGUUGUCCGGAUUCAUUGGGCGUAAAGAGCUCGUAGGCGGCUUGGUAAGUCACC
rnacentral:rRNA from 1 species